UGGGGAAUUUUGGACAAUGGGCGAAAGCCUGAUCCAGCAAUGCCGCGUGUGUGAAGAAGGCCUUCGGGUUGUAAAGCACUUUUGUCCGGAAAGAAAUCCUUGGCUCUAAUACAGUCGGGGGAUGACGGUACCGGAAGAAUAAGCACCGGCUAACUACGUGCCAGCAGCCGCGGUAAUACGUAGGGUGCAAGCGUUAAUCGGAAUUACUGGGCGUAAAGCGUGCGCAGGCGGUUUGCUAAGACCGAUGUGAAAUCCCCGGGCUCAACCUGGGAACUGCAUUGGUGACUGGCAGGCUAGAGUAUGGCAGAGGGGGGUAGAAUUCCACGUGUAGCAGUGAAAUGCGUAGAGAUGUGAGGAAUACCGAUGGCGAAGGCAGCCCCCUGGGCCAAUACUGACGCUCAUGCACGAAAGCGUGGGGAGCAAACAGGAUUAGAUACCCUGGUAGUCCACGCCCUAAACGAUGUCAACUAGUUGUUGGGGAUUCAUUCCUUAGUAACGUAGCUAACGCGUGAAGUUGACCGCCUGGGGAGUACGGUCGCAAGAUUAAAACUUAAAUGAAUUGACGGGGUCAUAGCUGUUUCCU
rnacentral:rRNA from 1 species